rnacentral:rRNA from 1 species
UACGUAGGGUGCAAGCGUUAAUCGGAAUUACUGGGCGUAAAGCGUGCGCAGGCGGCUUUGCAAGACAGAUGUGAAAUCCCCGGGCUUAACCUGGGAACUGCAUUUGUGACUGCAAGGCUAGAGUGUGUCAGAGGGAGGUGGAAUUCCGCGUGUAGCAGUGAAAUUCGUAGAUAUCGGGAGGAACACCGGUGGCGAAGGCGGCGACCUGGGUCGAGACUGACGCUGAGGCGCGAAAGCGUGGGGAGCAAACAGG